CAAAAAUACGUCAAUUUGGAUGUGUUUAUUACUUAGUGAUAAUAUUGAGAAAUAGUUGAGACAAAAUAGGCAGCUAGAAUGAAACAUAGGGUAUGUGUGCCAUCAGUAAUCUCAUGCUCCCAAAUUAAUCCUAUUCGAAAACAAGCGAUUACGGCACCAAUUGAUUCCGUUCUUUUUGUUCAUGUGUGCUUUCUUCUAAUAAAAAAUACAAAAAUCAGAAACAAAAAAACAACCAAUACCCUGUUUCUUCCAAAUCCUGCCAAGAAUAUAUUUUUAUCCUACGUAUUUAUUUCGUAUAUCUUCAUACUGCCGAAUAGGUCCAGAACUAAAUCUUGAUUAUUUUAACUUUAUGUUUCUGCCAUAAAGAGAGAUCCCUCACUUAUAAAAGGCAUGUUUGUAAUGCAAUAAAUAUAAAUAAGGCAGCAUGCGAGCAACAUCUAUCUAUCUAUCUAUCUAUAUAUAUAAAAAUGGAUUUCCGUCUGUCUGUCUGUCUGUCUGUCUGUCUGUCUGACCGCUAUGCAUUCGGAAACUACUGAACCGAUCGGUGUGAAAUUUUGUGUGUGAAUACUUUAGGGGCCGGGGAAGGUUCUUAGCUUGGUGUGAGACCUCUCCGGUCUCUGGAACAGGGGGCCCCCAUACAGAUAACUUCGCCGGGGACGCCCCUAUAGAGCUGUAUGUCAAAAAACGCAGUAGGCAGGCAGUACGACGUUUGCCGAGACAGCUACAUCAUGUCAAAAUUUGCAUUGUUCAGCCACGAACACCAAUCGGAACAAUGAGCCGUAUCUUUGCAGGACAGCAAGUGUUCAAUAUCUCCAAAAAGAGACAGGAGUUAUUGGAGGUGGACAGGCUCCCGAUGACAGUUGGCUACUGUUUGCGUGAAUGGCAGGACACUCAGUCGAGGUAUAAAUAUGUUGACCCGAAUCAUGGAAGGAGCGCAUACGAAGAUCCUGAUCUAUGGAGAGUAGCGAGGAUAGUGGUUCCAAUCUUUGCCAUGAUUCAUUGUGGACGUUCGUGAUCAAGGAAGCACCUAUGCUGACGAAGAUUUUCGAUAAUGCCACAUGUUAAGAAGAUGACUAAGCCUAUUGUAUUACUUUAAUCAUUAUCAACACACAACGCACGUUGAUCCGUUUCCUCCAAAAACUUGCUGUUGGCCUAUUUAGGGUUGUUUCAGUUUAUAACUCGGUAAAUUAUAUACCUGUUGAUUUAAAUUUUUGUACUCAAUUAAAUACACACGGUAUCUAGCUGGGUACAUGAAUUAAGGUCAAUUGGUAUAUAAUUGACUGAGUUCUAACCGGAAACUGUCCAAAAUAGAAUCCCCUGUUUAAAUAGUCCCGCACACUCCUAUAUUCACUCAUAGUUGCAGUGGCCUUUGUGCUGCAAAUAUUCAUAGAUUUGCAAAAGGACAUAUUUAUUUACCCUUUCACAUGAAGUAACCCAAUAGCUAAUAAGUAAUACAUAUCAGAAAAUUUUCAAAAGUGUACUUUUUGAAAGCUUACGAGCUGAAUAGAGAUGAGUAGAAAAAUUGACACUUAUUGUCUUCCUUUCUACCAAAAGCAUUGAAAACAUUUUCUUUUUCAUGCAGAUUUCAAGUACACUCAUAGAACAAUUAUGGGUCAAUUCAAUUUGAAUAGAGUGGUGAACUGACUGACUCGGCAAUUCAAGUGACUUCAAGGAACUGUCGCCUAAAAACCUAAAAGUUCCCCAAAGCAGCAUGGAUGGGGUAUUCGUUAGUAGGGUAGGUAUAAGAUCUGGAUGUCACCUUUGAUCGGUGAUGCGAUAAUGUGCUAUUAAAGUUGGAACGAAAAGAAACGACUUUUUCAACCAGUAUAUUUUCUAGCAAUAGCUAUGAAAUUUUGAAUUUAAAUGAGUUGUAUAGUUAGAGAAGACAAAGAGAGAAAGUAGAUAGAAAGAUACAAAGUCGGGGACAGACAGGGAUUGAAAAUAGGACAUUCUGCAUACUAAUCAGAUACGGUAGCCAGUAGACAGUCAAGUACCGCACCACAGGGUUAGGGUUCAUUAAAAUAUUACGUAACGAUUAAAGGGGAGAGAGGGGGUCAAGCACUGCGUUAAGCUUCAUAAAAAAUCCAACAUUACGCAUAAAAAAGUUGUUACAUGGGGGGGGGGGGAGGGAUCCGGAAUUGUCAAAUUUUGCAUUACGUAAUAUUUGAAUGAACUCUAAUAACUGGACAAUAAUUGUAAAAAGGUCCACACAUCAAAGGGGCAAUACAACGUUUGCCGGGUUAGCUAGUUUUACAUAAAAAAAACAAACAUUGUGGAAUUGCUUUGAAUUUUGUGAAGAUAUUUGGCGUAAGAAACCAGUCAAAUAACUGAACUCCAGGUCAUCAAAAUUUACAUAGAAUACCCAAUAGCCUAUCGAUGUCAACUUUCGGUUGUUGCUGGUGGAACUUCUGGAGAAAGGGAUGAACAGGUGUUAUAGCUAUGUUCAUUUAGAAUCCGGAAGGACAAAAUCACGUAUGUCUUAGGGAUGGAAUAACAAACAUAAAAGGUGAAGCCCUCAAAACAAAGGUUAUUUAUUGUACUUUCAUGGAAAAAUAUCAUUGAAAUUAUUUAUUUUUAUUUUUCACACAUUUUCUCACUUUUUCAGUGUUGACCUCUCUAAAAAUCUGCACAACGGUGGUAAAUUUUAGCAACAACCCCUUCCGCACGUUUGUUCAACAAUCAGGUCAUCUACAUAUGCAGUGUCCUGAGUGCCUUGACUAGUCUGACUAGGUUUCCGAAGAAAAAUUGCCAAACUUUUUUUUAUUGCGAAAUGAGGAGCAAUUCAGUGAAUUGAGAAAACGCGAAAUUUGAGUGUUUCUUUCGUUGAUAAACACUACCCAUCUAUGACGAUACCACUGAACGUCUCCGGCUGUCAUGGCAGCUCAUCAAAAUAGGUAAAACCUCUACAUAUCCCUUGUGUGCGUUUUUUAAAAGCAGAACGCGAUUCUUGAGGCUGUCAUCCUUGUAUGAAUUGGUUCUCAUCAUCUUGUUGCGAAAAAACCAUGCCCAGAGUUCGAACUUCUUGCCAAAUCUUCAAAUUCAAAGCAGAUUUAUCAAUGAACCCAAGUUUUUUUCUUCCGAGGACACUUCCUUAUGUCAUGGUUAACAACAUCUGUGCACAUAACACAUAAUGGUUUUGACGAUAUCAACAUUUUUCGCGACUGUCGUACCUGACCACGCUAAAUUUUCAACGUGUUUGUGCAAGAUUUUGUUCCUCCUCUUGUCUUCAAUCUGAAAUAACUUUUCACUCGUUGCAAGAAAAUCGAUGAAAUUUUCAUCAUUUAAAGAGGAUUAGUGUAUGAUCAGAGUUCUGCAAAAGAAUGAUUAUUAUGUUCAUUGAGAGCGCCACUAGAAAAUGUGACAUGAUUCCGGAUUCUAAGUGAACAUAGUGAACAAGUGAAUUUUAAUGUAUAUUUGUAGUGCUCCAAACAUUUGAGGAGUGAUCCAGUACAAAACACACAAGCCGUCCCCUAACACGGACAUCAAAUUGUAGACGGUCUUGUAUUGUUGCCCGAAUCUAGAUGGAUUAGAAACUCUUAGACCAAAACAAGCUAUGAAUGCAGCAACAGAUGCUGCGAACUGCCAAACAAAAUACAUUUCUAGGAUGACUGAUGGACCAAGAACAAUAAUGAAACCUCAUCAUCCUGGGUUCGUACUUCGUAUCCAUAUGGAUGACUUGGCACAAAUUAAUGUUUUGUGUUGCAUGUUUGUGCUUUGUGCAUUUGUAAUGUUCCAUUUUACUUUUCGUAACACACUAGUUUCAAAAUGUGGGGCUCGAUGCGGAAAAUCAAAUGCGCAUUUAUAGGGUUCUGUUAGCAGUUGUCUACAUUGUGGUACCCAUCAGGAGCACAAUGCAUUUUUAGUGUUCCGCAAAACUUUUUUUUUUCGUUACACAGGCUAAUAAGAAACAACCAAGGAAACAACUGUUUCCAGAAGCAGUUAUGUCCAUAUGGGCGUUAUUAUUUAUACGAUAUGUGUCUAAGCAGCCCUUGAUUUAUAUUGUAUCUUGAGUAUUAGAAUAAAAUAUGAUUCCUCCUUAGAUCAGAGAAGAUUAAAUUGACAAUCUUGAUUAAAAAAUAUAGAAUUCCUUCUUGAACUGCUUCACGAAUUAUGACCUAAACUUCUUCCAGGAUUUCUGAUAUCCUGAAUACCUUCCGAGGGACUUCCUUGCAAAUCUUCCAUGAUUUCUUACAGAAAUUUUCCCGGUAUUCCUUCCAGGAUUUCGUCAUGGCACUUUUUCUGGAAUUUUCUCCAAAGUUUUCCCCAGAAGAUUUUAUUUUGAGAUUUCUCCCAUGAUUCGUCCUGGCAUUUUUCCGGAAUUUCUCCUGAAAUUUCUACCGAGAUGCUUUGUGGAAUUCAUCCUGAGAUUCUCACGAAAUUAAUUUUGGCAUAUUCUCUAUUUUUUUUCGUCAUUUCUCUGGAGACUUCUGCAAAAAAAAGGAACACGACCCGUACUUUUGCAACAUUUGUAGAUGGAACGGUGGACCGAGGGAAAGGAACAACUAGACCAAUUUCAGGCUGAGAAGUGCGAGUACAAAUAACACAUCUGCUGCUAUGAUCUAAGUUUAUUGCUAAUAACUAGUUAUAAUGUCUCGGGUUAUAAUGUUCGGAGUUCUUGAUUCGUUGGUUCCCAAUUCGAUACUGACUUCAUUGCAUUGCGAGGAUUCCUUAUAUACGCCACGGAGCCCAUCUGUCGAGUGUUGGUCACUAACAAUGUUGUUUAUCCAGGUUUAUGUCGCUACAUUUUGGUCCCUACGAUUGGCAAAAAACAUCCCAUUAUGUGAAGCGCUCGUCACGUACAACCCAAGACAACGGACUAGCAUACAACGCCCAGUAGUGGUACAGCCGAAAAAUAAGCCGCAACCUGAUGGGCAGGGUAUGUUUCAAGAAUGCUAGACAACAAUCCUGCAAAGUUGGUAUUCGCUACCGAUCCGAUUUGCACAAGAUGAUGUGGAGUGCAGAGAGCACGAUGGGCGGAUCAAGUGGAGCGUGAUAUGGUGAGCAUUGGGAGUGACAGAGAAUGAAGAGAGGCAGCCACAAACCGAGUAUUGUGGCGUACUAAGGACUGUUCAUUUUAUAAAGAGGACACCUUAUUUGUGUGAUAUCUUUUUUAUUUUUCAAUAAAAUCAUUAUCGGUUUUUUGCAUAAAUUUCCAUGGCUAUUCUACAGUGUAGGAAAAAUAUAACAUUAUACAAAUUGUCCUUAGUUAUGGAACUCAAGCGGUUUUCGUUAAAACUCAAUAAAAUCCCAUUUCUCAAAAUUCUACUCAACUUUCCACAUACAUAACUUUAAAAUUUUCAUGAACUUUUCAAUGUGUUGGGAUCUAAUACUAUUCUUCUAAAGGUAGAGUGUAAUAGUUGGUCAGUAAUAAUGCACCAAGCAUUAUACAGCUUGAUAUAGUGAGUUGCCUUGUUAUCAAUGAAAUUGAUAAAAAAUACUUAUUUAAGUCCAGUGAUGCAAUAACACUACGGAAUCAGUUCAAAAUUUGUCCAGUAUAGAAGAGAAUCGCAUUCAAAUGAUACCGAAGAAAAAUAUGCUUUAAAGUACAUUCUUCAUCAUAAAUUUAAUACUUAAUGAUGGCCAUAAUGGAAAAUUGCAUACUUUUUGCUCCAUAAAUGCAAGUUUUUGAUUCUAGAGAAGCUUAUUAUUAUUUAUUUUCAGCAAGGUCUGACCCUAUGUGGUUAUAUACCUUAUUUGAAAGUAACUACAUGUUAAUUUUUAUUUUCGACAUCAUUGUUAAGUUGUAUUUGCAAUAGAGUACAUCGUUAUUUAGAAGAACCUUCAAAGAACGUAACAGUAACCAAGCCAACAAUGCUAUCAAGAAGCGGUUUUCUGCAUUUGAAAUUGCAUUAUUAGUACUUUCGACUAGAUCCAUUGAAAACAUUCAAAAUUUAAUAUUUUUAUACAUUUUUGUUUAACAAAUAAAUUUUAUUCUGAAAAUCGAGUCCAACUUGUAACUUUAAUAUCUCGACAACCAUUAUUCCGACUGCUGCAGCAUGGCAAACACUUUUAUGCAAUUAAAAACGAUACACCGAUGUUUUACAGAAAUUUUGUGUUUAUCUUUAGUUUUUAGGAAUUGAAAAAUUGAUCUCUCGAAACAUUUUGCCACAUUUCUAUGAUGUUCAAUAAUUUUAACCCAAUUUAUUUAUAGUUAUUAUCUGCUAAUAUAAUGUACUGAACAACUAACCAAGGCUGCUCAAAUUUGAACUACGCGUUUUCUUUUUAUAGCCUUGCAAAGUUGUCCUCUUUAUAAAAUGAACAGUCCUUAUUGUUGAAUAUGUCCUAUUUUUAGGUGUCAUGAUGCAUCACUGAGCUUUCAAAGGAAUAAUUCACAUCUUGCUUUACAAUAAGUGUUUGCCUCGCGUUUUUGAGGUGAACUGAUAAUUCUACAGCAACGCAGCUGAAAAAGUAACAUACAGGAUGGGAUAGGAGUAGCAUAUAGGAUGAUACUUUUUCAUACGAAUAUUCACUUUCAUGGCUGAAAACUAUCACUUUGAAAUUUCGCGCCACAUAUCCAACAUGGCUACCAAGAAUGCUGAUGAUUCCGUUAAAAAGCCUUAAACGUGAUGUUGAACAAAUACCUAAAUGUAAGUGCACUGCAACAUUUUUGGAAAUUUCAAAAGGCGCCGCGAUAGCAAAAAGUUUGGGAACCUCUGCCUUAAAUAUUCUGUAAUAAGUUCUAGGAGGAAUCUCCCAAGAAGUUUUUUCUGGAUAAAACAAAGAAAGAAUUCUUUAACUUAUUGGAGAAAUACCUGGAAAGCACUUUAUAAGCAAUUCCGGAAAGAACUUCGAGAGGAAAUCUGGAAAUUUUGGAUUGGAUUGGAAUGGUGAAAUUCCGGAAGAGAUCCCACAAGAAAAUUCUGGUGUAACCUCUGGAAAAAAAAUCGAACGAAUCCCAGAGAAAAGUGACAUCCAUAAAGAAGGAGUUCCUGAAGCAAUCCCAAUAAGAGCUAAUGGAAAAAAUCCGCAAGAAAUUCUGGGCGGAAUGGAGAUAUAACAGCUCAAAUCCAGGAGAAAACAUCUCCUGGAUAAAUCGAAGAAAAAACUCUUGAAGACAUCUUAGAAGUAACUUCUAGAGAAAUCCCAGAAGGAACGUCUUGAGGAAUAACAGAAAAAAAACUCCUACAGGAAUCCAGGAAAAAAUCCUAGAAGAAUUCCAGAACGAACUUCAGGAGUAAUCUCCAAACUUUCAGAAGGAGGAACCUUAGAAGACACUCCUUGAACAAUCCUAAAAAGGAGUGAUCCCCGGAAUGAACUUCUGGAAGAAUAAUUCCGGAAGAAAAAUCUUGGAAAAUCUUAGAAUGAUCUUCAGAAGAUAUCCGUAAAGGAAAAGGAACUUCUUAGAGAAUCCUCGAAUGAGCUUCUGGAGGAAUCCAGAAAAGACUCUAAGAAACUCCUUGAGAAAUCCAGAAAGACUCCAAGAAACUCCUUGAGGAAUCCUAGAAAGAACUCAGAAACUUUUAAAGAAUUUCCAAAAUUCUCAAAAAAGGUAAUCCUUAAAGAAACUUCUGGACGAAUCCAAGAAGAAACUUCUUGAGAAUUUCCAAAAUUAAUUCCUGGAGGAACACCAGUAGACACUGAAGGAGUAAUUUUAGUAUGAACUCCUAGGGGUCCCUCGAAGGAUCCUCUGGAGAAACCUUAGAAAAAAACUCUUUGAUCAAUCUCUGAAGGCACUCCGGGAGGAAUUUUAGGAGCUACUGAAUGAAUCACAGAACUCAAGGAAGAAUCUUUAGAAACUUUCGUAGGAAAAUCAGAAGGAGUUUAUGGAGGGAUUCAGAAGGAACUUCUAAAGGAAUUCAUGGAGGAUUAUCACUCUGCAGCAGCCGAAUUAGAUGUUUUUUUACUACUUGAAGUUCACCCAGUAGCAUAUGCCUGUAUAUAAAUAAAAAUAAAUGAAUAAAAAAUAAAAUAAACGGCAGUUUUAAAAGUAAUAGAGACGCAUGGUCAUUGCUUAUGUAAUAAACCCGGAACAAAGCUUUUUCGGACCAUGUUAGCGUCUAAAACAACUGUGCAAAAUUUGGGAGCGAUUGAUUACGUCCCCGUAUUCCGCAUUGCGAAUGAAAUUUGUAUGGGUUUUAGCACAGAGAACAAACAUCCAAGUCCAGUUCCGAAACUGAGUAAGGAAUUUAACGGAUUUGAAAUCGGUAACACAAGUGGCAACAGCGUGGCGCUGCAAUCGGUUAAUUUCCCAAACUAAUGAAAUGUUUCAAUUCACCACUGACUGUGGCAAUAUGGUGUUUGGUGGCGUUAGCGUUUUCAUCGCCUUACUCAAGUGAGGAUUCAAAUCCUUACACAACUUUCUGAAUGAAAUUUGUUCUAGCCUGGAUGUCUGUUCUCUGUGGUUUUAGUAUGGGAAAAAUCACUUUUUUGCAUUUUUUUGCAAGAGGGGCGUACAUUUUUUCUCGACUACAUAACCGAUGUUACGGGUAUAAAUAUUUGUUAUAAUUAUAAGACAAAAUAAUUGUCAAUUUCUUGAUUUUGCUUUGGCUGACCAAGCCAUGUGGGAAAUUACACUGUUGAAAAUGCUUUGACAUCCAUGUGCACAACAGAACAUGUGCUCGAUGAACAAAUUGAGAUUUGAAAUUAUGAAAAGAAAUCCACGUACUCCGGUGAGACUCGAACUCACGACUCCCAAUUCGCUAGACGGGCGCUUCUAUUCCUUCAAGCUACGGAGUCACUCGACUAUCUCCGUCGCCAGCAGGCCUAGAACUGAACUUCGAUUCCACUAUCGCACAUGGUUAUCUUCUUUUCACAAUCCAAACCCCCUUCGGAUGGGAUUAGAUGAACAUCUAACACAUUGUCUGUUGUGCACAUGUAUGUCAAAGCGGGAGAGGAAGUUAUUUUUAAUUGUCGAGAGCUUCGGGCACUGCCUUCCAAUCACUUAUUGGUAUGGCAAUUAGUGUGCAGUCGGACUCUCGACGGGUCGGUCCUCGGCCGACCGAAUACGGUAAGGGUGACCGUAGCACCUUACAAAUGUCAAUUUCUUGAUUUUGCUUUGGCUGACCAAGCCAUGUGGGAAAUUACACUGUUGAAAAUGCUUUGACAUCCAUGUGCACAACAGAACAUGUGCUCGAUGAACAAAUUGAGAUUUGAAA